rnacentral:snRNA from 2 species
AUUGCUUCUCAGCCUAUUGGCUAAGAUCGAGUGUAGUUUGUGUUCUUAUCAGUUUUAUAAUGCCAUUAUCAAUUUUUUAUCACAAGCCUAUGUUAAUUUCAUUGUACUAGUU